GUAUUCUUUCGCGCAUGAACCGCAUCCAGUCCGAACUCCGACGUCGCCGCUCGCCGCUCCCCUAGGGACGCCGCUGGCUUCGUCACGGAUUCGCGCCGCACACCACUUCGGCGCAAGCUGUUCGAAUCAUGAAAGCCACGGCCUGCCGUGGCUUUUCU
rnacentral:ncRNA from 1 species